rnacentral:rRNA from 1 species
ACGCUCGACACCUACGGGGAGACAGCAGGUGGGGAAUAUUGCACAAUGGGGGAAACCCUGAUGCAGCGACGCCGCGUGGAGGAAGAAGGUCUUCGGAUUGUAAACUCCUGUUGUUGGGGAAAAAGAGGAUGGUACCCAACAAGGAAGUGACGGCUAACUACGUACCAGCAGCCGCGGUAAUCUGAGCGGGCUGGCAAGGC